rnacentral:rRNA from 1 species
UUUAGCAACACAAGUAUUAAAGGUCCCGCCUGCCCAGUGAAAUUUAUUUUUAACGGCCGCGGUAUUCUAACCGUGCAAAGGUAGCGUAAUCACUUGUCUUCUAAAUAAAGACUAGUAUGAACGGCUAAAUGAGGGUAAGACUGUCUCUUAUAAUUAAUCAGUGAAACUGACCUUCCAGUACAAACGCUGGAAUAAACACAUAAGACGAGAAGACCCCGUGGAGCUUAAAACUAAUCACUAACACAUUAUUACCCUAGUGCACUGUUUUCAGUUGGGGCGACUUCGGAAUAAAACAAAACUUCCGAGCACAGAACCACCACUUCCUACUAAGGCCAACAAGCCCAAGUACAACCUGACCCGGCUCCAAUGCCGAUCAACGAACCAAGUUACCCCGGGGAUAACAGCGCUAUCUUCUUCAAGAGUCCCUAUCAACAAGAAGGUUUACGACCUCGAUGUUGGAUCAGGACACCCAAAUGGUGCAGCCGCUAUUAAAGGUUCGUUUGUUCAACGAUUAACAGUC